rnacentral:RNase_P_RNA from 1 species
GUUCUUUGUUGGGUAGACGCGCGAUAGUAAUAUCGUGAGGAAAGUCCGAGCACAUAGUUAUGUUUACAUAACAAGCGUAGCGGGUAAUGCCCGUCUGAGGUGACUCAUGUGUUGCGAACAGAAACGAUCCGGUUUAGUCCGGCUGAAACGGCUAAAUACAUACGUGUGUGCAAGACCGUGCUUCUAAUGUUUACAUUAGAAGAGUGUCGCUAGAUCUUUACAGUAAUGUAAAGACAAGAUAAAUGUCUAUACAAAUACAGAACUCGGCUUAUAGACAAAGAAUACAU